GUGGGUAGAGUUCAGUGGUAGAGCCCGUGUUUGGUGAGCACGAGGCCCUGGAUUCAAUCCUCAGUGCCUCCA
rnacentral:tRNA from 1 species